UUCUUUGUGUUUUGGGAGGUAGGGUUUAUAAAUUCAUCAUUAACCCCAAGGGAUAGAACGCGCCGCUUCCCAGUAAGUCUGCACGUGGCUGUGGUUUCAUAUAAUCUUACAACAGAGAUGGAUGCUAUGAAACCUGUUGCGAAACAGCUAGAGAAAGAAGACGACGACGACGACGAUGAAGAUGAAGGAAGCAUCACGCAUCAUGAAGAUGCAGUCCUUCCGUCGAAUCAGUAAUUAACCAAAACCAAAAUAAUCUUGCUUCGUCUCUUGGUUGAGCCUCCUUUUCAGCGAUCUCCACCUUGUAGGUAUCAAAUGUAAUCUUCGUCAACUACAACCGGAAAACGCCAACUCUGGAGAAUCCUCCUCGAUCUCCUUUUGACAGUCCUCCUCUUUUCCUCAUCCCCGGCUACUUCAUCACCUCACUCCUCAUCGGCCAAGAAUUCACAUUUCCUCUCCUCAAUCCUCAAUCCUUUAUUGUUGUUGUUGCUGUAGUCGACAUUCUGGUGGUUGUUUCCCGCUCCACCAAUCGGUGCCUUACACGCUGACCGCCUGGUUCUCAGAUUCCAUGGCCUCACCUCUUCAGCCGCAGCAGGGGAUUCUUCUCUUUCUUUCUUCUUGCUGCAUAUCUUGCUGCUGGCUCUGUCAUCGAGGUAGCAGAGAGGGUUGCCAAAAAGGAGUUGGAUUCUGCCUUUGCUAUCGUUAGGCCUCCAGGGCAUCAUACCAAAGAAGAUGAAGCUAUGGGGUUCUGUUUAUUUAAUAAUGUGGCUAUUGCAACACGUUUUCUAUUAAAUCCAAAUUUGGGUCUAAACGAAAUCUUGAUUGUUGACUGGGAUGUUCACCAUGGUAAUGGUACUCAAGAAACAAUCUGGAAUGAUCCUCGUGUUCUGUUCUUCUCUGUUCAUAGGCAGAAAGACGCCCUUCGUAAGCGUCCACCUUGGAAUGGAAUGCAGAAAACCUCAGAGACUGUUGGGAUGCCAAAUCUUUAUAUUAACAAGUUUGUAGGACCUGAGAUUUGAUAUUUGCCUGGUGAAAGUUUUCCUUGAGAAUGCAAGAGGUAGAGAUGGUCAACUUCACUAAUGCUUUUGCAUUCUUUAAUCUUUUUAUUUUAGAAAAAAGAGAAUGCAAAAGUAUUAGUGAGUUAACCAUCCCUACCAAAACCUUUUGGAAUGGUACUGAAGCUGAUGAUGUAAAGAAGUUUAAGAUUGUUGAGAAGUUAUUGGCAUUUCCAAGAGCAUCUGUACUGCUUAUUUUCAAUGAAAGAAUAAGUACUUAUAAUUUCUACUGCCUAUUUUUGACACUAUCAAGGGUUCCCAUGCUUGUACUUGAAUUUCUUAUGUUCCUAUUUAGGUUAAGAGAUGCCCUUGCCAUUCGUUAUUUGGUCUAGAGGUGGCUGGGUUAAAUUCUUUUCUUGUCGAAGUAUACAAUUUUUUUGUUUCUAUAAAGUGUCCUGCUUAUCAUUGGGAAUGAUCA